UUACAGUUUGUUGCUUUGUGUGGCAGCCAUAUUGGUUUUGUGCGUGCGCAACUAUUGCGCGCUAUCUACAUAUCUUACCGUUAAAUGUACGUUUACAGAUUUAAUCGAGAUCUUUGCGAGGCUUUCAUAAUUAUGUAAUAUGUAUGAUAUAGCUUGAUAUGCUGUUACUUCAAAUUGCUGUAAUUUCUAUUUAUAUUGACUUAAGUCGAGUACAAAAUGAAAUUAUUUGCUCUCUAAUUUUAAGGAUGUCGACCUGCAACUGAAACUGAGUGAUAUUCGACUAUUUCAAUUUAGAUUCGCUAGUCAACAAAAUGGUUGCUCACUCCGAAAUAACGACUUUCAAGUAAUGGAUCCGACCGCUGAUAUUAAAAUUGAAGAGUCAGAUUUCAUUGGAACAUGGAAUUACUGUAAUGGAAAAUAAAACAGGUCUUGCUGAGGAUGAAGAAAUGUUAUGUGGGGAGAAAAUGGGCUACUGGAAGUGGACCUUCUUAAACAAAGACGACUUUCACAAAAUGUUUAAAAGAUCACGGUCGCGGCAUCGAACCCUGGACGUUUCCCCUGCCACGGUCAGACACUCGAGAAUAGUACUAGUAGUGUGCGCUACUCGAGCUGUUGACAUAUGAGUUCUUCGGUGUUAUUUAUAUUUAAUUGUAAUAUGUAAUGACUGACAGUGCGAGAUAUCUUUUUUUGUUUCUAUUUGAUGUGUUUAGUGUUUGUGUUGCAUUCUAAUAUAAACCGCGUAUUAGUUUCGUGUCAAUUUUAAAUUUGAUAAGUUUAUCUUUAAACUGUAUUUAUUAGCAGUAAUAGUUACAUUUUGGUAUUAUACCUAUAUUUAUUAUUGUAAUACUGUUGUAUAAUGCUGUUUCUUCCUCAUUGUAGCUUACAUAUAGGAUAGCAUACUUUGCUCUGAUCUUUAAUCACAGUUGACAAUACU